rnacentral:rRNA from 1 species
GACGAACGCUGGCGGCGUGCUUAACACAUGCAAGUCGAACGGAAAGGCCCUGCUUUUGUGGGGUGCUCGAGUGGCGAACGGGUGAGUAACACGUGAGUAACCUGCCCUUGACUUUGGGAUAACUUCAGGAAACUGGGGCUAAUACCGGAUAGGAGCUCCUGCUGCAUGGUGGGGGUUGGAAAGUUUCGGCGGUUGGGGAUGGACUCGCGGCUUAUCAGCUUGUUGGUGGGGUAGUGGCUUACCAAGGCUUUGACGGGUAGCCGGCCUGAGAGGGUGACCGGCCACAUUGGGACUGAGAUGCGGCCGAGACUCCUACGGGAGGCAGCAGUGGGGAAUAUUGCACAAUGGGCGGAAGCCUGAUGCAGCAACGCCGCGUGCGGGAUGACGGCCUUCGGGUUGUAAACCGCUUUCGCCUGUGACGAAGCGUGAGUGACGGUAAUGGGUAAAGAAGCACCGGCUAACUACGUG